rnacentral:rRNA from 1 species
UACGUAGGGGGCGAGCGUUGUCCGGAUUUAUUGGGCGUAAAGAGCGUGUAGGCGGCCAGGUAGGUCUGCUGUGAAAACUCGAGGCUCAACCUCGAGACGUCGGCGGAAACCAUCUGGCUAGAGUCCGGAAGAGGAGAGUGGAAUUCCUGGUGUAGCGGUGAAAUGCGCAGAUAUCAGGAAGAACACCAAUGGCGAAAGCAGCUCUCUGGGGCGGUACUGACGCUGAGACGCGAAAGCGUGGGGAGCGAACAGG